rnacentral:lncRNA from 1 species
GUGGGUGACUGGUAGCCAUUGAUGCUGGGUUAUUUGGUAUAUAAAUAGAUGAAUAUCUCUUUAGAGAUAUGAAUUCGAGGGUUUUCUUUGUGAUGCGUUGUUUAUCUUAAAAUUGUUUCUCGUCUUCGUCUGUAAUAUUUGUUUUCUAAUAUUUUUAGUAAGUAUUUGUAAAUAGAGUGUGAGGAUUUAAUCACUUGUGUAAUCUAUAAAGAAGAGAGUUCGAGAGGAGAAAUUGUAUUGUGGGGAUUUUUUUUGUUUGAUACUUUAAGUAUUGACCUAUAAGCGUGGACACUUUAAUCGUAAUAGUGGAUUUGGAAUAUCAACCACAAUUAUUUGAAUGCUCAACGUGAUAAGCAGGCCUUUUAAUUGAACAUCCAAGCCCAAGGACAAACAAUCUUGGUGUUCUUCAUGUUUUUGCUCAAGUUUUCGUUUAAUUCAGUAAUUGUAAUACCAAUGAGAACUAAAAAAAUAUAGACGAUGAGGAAACGUGUUAGAGAGAGCUCUCAAUCAUGUAAGGUGUUAGGGAGAGAAGCUCUCAACUUUAGUAAAAGAAGCACUCACUUUAGUCGCCCCUUACAUAUGUGAGCUCAUUGAUCUUUGUUCGAUUUUACCUUCAUUACUUGGUAAUUUCGAUCAAAUCUAGCAUUGCAGAUUUUGUAAAAUCUGUCCAGAUUCAAAGUGCCAUCUUUGAAGAAUUUCAAGUUUCUUGGAGGUUCGACGAUCUGCCAGAAUGGUUAUGCAAUGUCCUUGAAAGCUUCAAGUUUUUCAUCUCCUCUUGGAAGAUUUGAAAAUGGUCAGCAUGUCAUAUGCAUUGUUCAUGUAGUUUUAUGCAAAGUUAUGCCCAGAUUCUUGGUGCUUCUCUUUGGUGGUGUUAGAUUUUAUCUUCAAAACUUUGUGCUGUUUUGUCUUUGUUUAUAUUUUCUAGUGAGCUCGGCCAGUUCGGUGUAUUGGUCAGUUUCGCUACAGAAUAUUUGGUUUGUAGAAACAAACUCAGCCUGCUCGAGUUCAAGUUCCUCACUCUUCAACAACUUUCUUGCCUAGAAUUCCAGCUUAGGUUCGUAAUCAUUAAACCUCCUCCUUUCUGGGUUCUUGACUUAUUCCAGGCUGCAAUUGAGAAAGAAGCGCACUAGUCUAAAGGUCCAACUGUGCCGUCAAAGUUUCGCGAUAAAGACCAAGCAUAUGAUCCCCAUACACCGUCAUUGCUUCUUCUCCAGGAAAAGAAGUUCACGACCCGUCAACCUAUUCGCCCAUUGCAAAUGAAGGAGGAGGAUUACUCAAAAAGUUAAGGAUUGGUAAUCUUUUUUAGAAAUCGAAUGAAUUCAAUCUUAUACAUAUGCGAGGAAGGUAAUCAAAAAAGAAAGAAGAUAAGUUCUUUCUUCCUUUCAUCACUUAGGAGCAGUGUCAAAUGCCCUUAUUCAUUUACGGAUUUUGUGCUGGAUCCUAUAACCUCAAUGGGUAUCCAGCUUUGCUUUCCAACAGCCUGCUCGCAGGGAAUUUUGACUUUGGGCUUGAAAUCUAGCCUUGCAUAUUGGUCAUUUAAUCCCCCCCCCCCCCCCCCCCCCCGCCAUACGGGUUUCUUGGUAUUUCAGCAUCGAUAUGGAUUUUGCUCUUGACGCCAAAAAUGCAAGGUGUACUGCCCAUUUACAAGGUAUGCAAUUUGAAGUCUCCUCUUCACAUGAGGCUUCCCAAUAUUCUCCAACUGGGAAAGCAGAAUUUAAAGGCACCAACUCGUAGGUAGCCUUAAUGAUUAUCUCAAAGGCACCGGCUCAAAGGUAGCUUUAAUAAUUAGACGAAGUUGUUACGUUUGAUUGAUUUCCAGUCUCUUGUUUUGGUUCCUAAGACGAAUUAUAGCGUUAAUUUUGUAAGCAUGAGGAUGUCUGGAGUAAUUGAUUCAGAUAUGCAGCACAAGAAUUUCAUAGCCA